rnacentral:tRNA from 1 species
CAUUAGGUGGCUGAAAGCAAGCAAUGGAAUUUUAAACCAUCUCAUAGUAACUAACGACUACUUCUAAUG